rnacentral:piRNA from 1 species
UUUCAGUAAACCCACAACCUUCAGCAUGGGC